rnacentral:rRNA from 1 species
GUGUCAGCCGCCGCGGUAAUACGAAGGUGGCAAGCGUUACUCGGAAUUACUAGGCGUAAAGGGCAGGUAGGUGGUUCAGUAAGUCUGUUGUGGAAGCUCCCGGCUUAACCGGGAGAGGCCAACGGAAACUACUGGACUUGAGUGUAGGAGAGGGUAUUGGAAUUCCCGGUGUAGCGGUGAAAUGCGCAGAGAUCGGGAGGAACACCAAUGGCGAAAGCAGAUACCUGGACUAUUACUGACACUAAGCUGCGAAAGCUAGGGGAGCAAACAGGAUUAGAUACCCCAGUAGUCC